rnacentral:rRNA from 1 species
CGCGGCCUAUCAGCUUGUUGGUGGGGUAACGGCCUACCAAGGCAACGACGGGUAGCUGGUCUGAGAGGACGAUCAGCCACACUGGCACUGAGAUACGGGCCAGACUCCUACGGGAGGCAGCAGUGAGGAAUAUUGCGCAAUGGGCGAAAGCCUGACGCAGCGACGCCGCGUGGGGGAAGAAGGUUUUCGGAUUGUAAACCCCUUUUAGGAGGAAAGAUGGGGUGGGUUUCCACCCGGACGGUACCUCCAGAAAAAGCCACGGCUAACUUCGUGCCAGCAGCCGCGGUAAUACGAAGGUGGCGAGCGUUGUUCGGAUUUACUGGGCGUAAAGAGCACGUAGGCGGUUUAGUAAGCCCCUUGGGAAAGCUAUGGGCUUAACCCAUAAAGGUCGAGGGGGACUGCUAAGCUAGAGGGCGGGAGAGGAGCGCGGAAUUUCCGGUGUAGCGGUGAAAUGCGUAGAUAUCGGGAAGAAGGCCGGUGGCGAAGGCGGCGCUCUGGAACGUCUCUGACGCUGAGGUGCGAAAGCGUGGGGAGCAAACAGGAUUAGAUACCUUGGUAGUCCACGCCGUAAACGAUGGGUACUAAGUGUCGGCAGGUUACUGCCGGUGCCGCAGUUAACGCAGUAAGUACCCCGCCUGGGGAGUACGG